rnacentral:rRNA from 1 species
UACGAAGGGGGCUAGCGUUGUUCGGAAUUACUGGGCGUAAAGCGCGCGCAGGCGGUCUUCCAAGUCAGUGGUGAAAGCCCGGAGCUCAACUCCGGAAUUGCCAUUGAAACUGUGAGACUGGAGUACGAGAGAGGUGAGUGGAAUUCCCAGUGUAGAGGUGAAAUUCGUAGAUAUUGGGAAGAACACCGGUGGCGAAGGCGGCUCACUGGCUCGGUACUGACGCUGAGGUGCGAAAGCGUGGGGAGCAAACAGG